UAGCGAAGGGGGCUAGCGUUGCUCGGAAUCACUAGGGCGUAAAGAGCUCGUUAGGCGGUUUGUCGCGUCGGCUGUGAAAACCUGGGGCUCACCCCGGGCCUGCAGCCGAUACGGGCAAGCUAGAGUUCGGUAGGGGAGACUGAAUUCCCGGUGUAGUGGUGAAAUGCGUAGAUAUCGGGAGGAACACCAGUGGCGAAGGCGGCUUUCUGGCCUGUUCUUGACGCUGAGGCGCGAAAGCUAGGGGAGCAA
rnacentral:rRNA from 1 species